AUUGUUUCUCAGCCUUUUGGCUAAGAUCAAGUGUAGUAUCUGUUCUUAUCAGUUUAAUAUCUGAUUCGUCCUCUGUCUGAGGACAAUACAUUAAAUGGAUUUUGGGACUAGGAAAGGGAAUAGGAGCUUGCUGUGUCCACUCGCUGUAUUGACCUGGCAUUGCAGUACUCCAGGCAUGGUGCAGCUACC
ensembl:snRNA U2 U2 spliceosomal RNA